rnacentral:rRNA from 1 species
UACGUAGGGCGCAAGCGUUGUCCGGAAUUAUUGGGCGUAAAGAGCUCGUAGGCGGCUUGUCACGUCGGGUGUGAAAGCCCGGGGCUUAACCCCGGGUCUGCAUUCGAUACGGGCUAGCUAGAGUGUGGUAGGGGAGAUCGGAAUUCCUGGUGUAGCGGUGAAAUGCGUAGAUAUCAAGAGGAACACCUGAGGUGAAGACGGGUUGCUGGGCUGACACUGACGCUGAGGCGCGAAAGCCAGGGGAACAAACGGG